rnacentral:rRNA from 1 species
AGAGUUUGAUCCUGGCUCAGGAUGAACGUUGGCGGCGUGCCUAACACAUGCAAGUCGAACGGGAAGCUCGGUUUCGAUCGAGUGGAGAGUGGCGCACGGGUGAGUAACACGUAACUGAUCUGCCCUAGAGAGGGGGAUAACUACUGGAAACAGUAGCUAAAACCCCAUAAGCUCACGCUUUUUAGAAAGGUGUGAGAAAAACUCCGGUGCUCUAGGAUGAGGUUGCGUCCCAUCAGCUAGUUGGUGUGGUAAAGGCACACCAAGGCGACGACGGGUAGGGGACCUGAGAGGGUGACCCCCCACACUGGAACUGAGACACGGUCCAGACUCCUACGGGAGGCAGCAGUGAGGAAUAUUGCACAAUGGACGCAAGUCUGAUGCAGCGACGCCGCGUGGGCGAAGAAGGUUUUCGGAUCGUAAAGCCCUUUUCUAUGUGACGAGAACGGACGGUAGCAUAGGAAUAAGUGUCGGCUAACUACGUGCCAGCAGCCGCGGUAAAACGUAGGACGCGAACGUUAUCCGGAGUUACUGGGCGUAAAGCGCGUGCAGGCGGUUAAGUAAGUUACCUAUGAAAGCUCUCGGCUAAACUGAGAGAGGAUAGGUGAUACUGCUUGACUAGAGUGAGGUAGAGGUGAGUAGAAUUCCAGGUGUAGUGGUGAAAUGCGUAGAUAUCUGGAGGAAUACCAGUGGCGAAGGCGGCUCACUGGCCCUCAACUGACGCUGAGACGCGAAAGCGUGGGUAGCGGACGGGAUUAGAAACCCCGGUAGUCCACGCCGUAAACGAUGUACAUUAGGUGUUCGUAUGCCUGCGGGUAUAUGAGUAUCGAAGCAAACGCGAUAAAUGUACCGCCUGGGGAGUACGGUCGCAAGGCUAAAACUCAAAGGAAUUGACGGGGGCCCGCACAAGCAGCGGAGCGUGUGGUUUAAUUCGAGGCUACGCGAAGAACCUUACCUGGGUUUGACAUGAUAGUAGUACGGAAGCGAAAGCGGAAGGACUCUUCGGAGAGCUAUCACAGGUGCUGCAUGGUUGUCGUCAGCUCGUGCCGUGAGGUGUUCGGUUAAGUCCGCAAACGAGCGCAACCCUCGGUGCUAGUUACAAGUGUCUAGCGCGACUGCCCGUGACAAACGGGAGGAAGGUGGGGAUGACGUCAAAUCAGCAUGGCCUUUAUAUCCAGGGCUACACACACGCUACAAUGGUCGGUACAAUGGGUAGCGAAGCCGCGAGGUGGAGCCAAUCCUCCAAAGCCGAUCUCAGUUCGGGUUGCAGGCUGCAACUCGCCUGCAUGAAGUCGGAGUUGCUAGUAACCGCGUAUCAGCACGGCGCGGUGAAUACGUUCCCGGGCCUUGUACACACCGCCCGUCACACCAUGGGAGUUGGUUUUACCCGAAGAUAGUGGGCUAACCUUUCGAGGGGGCAGCUAGCCACGGUAAGGUCAGCGACUGGGGUGAAGUCGUAACAAGGUAACC